UACGUAGGGCGCAAGCGUUGUCCGGAAUUAUUGGGCGUAAAGAGCUCGUAGGCGGCUUGUCACGUCGGUUGUGAAAGCCCGGGGCUUAACCCCGGGUCUGCAGUCGAUACGGGCAGGCUAGAGUUCGGUAGGGGAGAUCGGAAUUCCUGGUGUAGCGGUGAAAUGCGCAGAUAUCAGGAGGAACACCAGUGGCGAAGGCGACUACCUGGCCUGUUCUUGACGCUGAGGCGCGAAAGCUAGGGGAGCAAACGGG
rnacentral:rRNA from 1 species